GGAUGUGGCUCAAGUGGUAGCGCGCUUGCCUAGCAUGCAUGAGGCACUGGGUUCAAUUCUCAGUACCA
rnacentral:tRNA from 1 species